UACGGAGGAUCCAAGCGUUAUCCGGACUCAUUGGGUUUAAAGGGUCCGUAGGCGGAUUAUUAAGUCAGUGGUGAAAGUUUUCGGCUUAACCGAAAAAUUGCCAUUGAUACUGGUAGUCUUGAAUUAUUGUGAAGUAACUAGAAUAUGUAGUGUAGCGGUGAAAUGCUUAGAUAUUACAUGGAAUACCAAUGGCGAAGGCAGGUUACUACUAAUUGAUUGACGUUGAUGGACGAAAGCGUGGGGAGCGAACAGG
rnacentral:rRNA from 1 species